rnacentral:rRNA from 1 species
GAUGAACGCUGGCGGCGUGCCUAAUACAUGCAAGUCGAGCGAACAGACGAGGAGCUUGCUCCUCUGACGUUAGCGGCGGACGGGUGAGUAACACGUGGAUAACCUACCUAUAAGACUGGGAUAACUUCGGGAAACCGGCGCUAAUACCGGAUAAUAUAUUGAACCGCAUGGUUCAAUAGUGAAAGACGGUUUUGCUGUCACUUAUAGCUGGAUCCGCGCCGCAUUAGCUAGUUGGUAAGGUAACGGCUUACCAAGGCAACGAUGCGUAGCCGACCUGAGAGAGUGAUCGGCCACACUGGAACGGAGACACGGUCCAGACGCCUACGGGAGGCAGCAGUAGGGAAUCUUCCGCAAUGGGCGAAAGCUUGACGGAGCAACGCCGCGUGAGUGAUGAAGGUCUUCGGAUCGUAAAACUCUGUUAUUAGGGAAGAACAAAUGUGUAAGUAACUAUGCACGUCUUGACGGUACCUAAUCAGAAAGCCACGGCUAACUACGUG